GCGUUCUUAGCGUAAUAUUUUGUUAGGGUUCAUAAAGAUGUCUUCCUAAGCAAUAAGCAAUGUAUUGAUUUUUAAACCAAUGAAAAUAAUGGUAAAUUUCCCCCUGGCUGAUUUCAUUGGAAGUUAACCAAUGAAUUAGACGUUUAUAUUGAUAACGCCCGCCUACAAGUGUAUUCCAAACGAUACAGUUAGGAGAAUUUGAAACCUGUCUGGAAUUCAAAGUUAAGGUCAUUUAAAGUAACCAUCUUUCUAUAGUAUAAUACGGAACUUUAGGAACUCGAUUAUGUGUCAAAGCCAUUCUGUAGUAUGAAAUUUGUACAUUUGGCGUGAAAAUGGAUAUACUUUGCAAUUUUGAAAGACAUCACUAACUGAUCAAUCAGCAAAUCCUUCAGAUGAUGGCGGGAGAUAUUGGCGGUCGAUUUGUAAGGAUGCGGGGGCAUGUGAGGUCAGAUCGCUCUGUCCGUGGCCUGAAAUGACCGCUUAACGGAUCAAUAAUGUCAUACUCUGGUGGUCAAGCUUAACAGGUGAGACUAUUAUUUAAUCAACUGUAUUGUAAAGAAAUGAUUUAUGUAGAAAGAUAAAAAGAUCACCAUCUGUACGCGUCUGUUACAUUGAGCCUGGUAUUCUGUACGAUCCUUCAGUUAAAAACCCACUUUGCAUAAAAAAAUAUUAGAUCCAGGUAGAAAUAUCCUGAUUGUAAUAUUGUUGAAUUCAUUUUGUUAAAGUUAAAUUCCAAAAGUGGUGACAUCACUUUGCUUGCAACACAUCUGUAACACACGAGUUUUAAGAAAGUGCGAAAGAAAAUAAUCCACAUUAAAUGUUCAAAGAAACAGUUCCCUUGCAAUUUUUUUUGAUAUAUAUCAUCUAAUCCCUUAAAUUUUUCUAGAAAUAUCACAUUUCCGAAGUGUAAAACCACUUACAUUCAUAUUGUGUGUACAUUCAACUUAAUAAUGUCCGAUUGUUACAAAUGAAAAUCGUUUUCUGUUUACAAAACGUCAAAUGAUACCAACUGCACAAUGAUUACGUAACGCAACCUGCACACUUUUAUAAACUUUAUUGCGCAAUAUUCCUGCGGAAAGUGCAGCUUGUUGUAGUAGUGUGUUCAUGAUAUGAGGUCAUUUAACUCGGUGAACCGACCUGCCGACGUAAUAUGCAAUCCACUGCGCAUAACAAAUGCAUUGCAUAUUGAUACUGCAUGUAGAUUCACCAAAAGGUUUUUAUUUGUGAAGCGUUUUUGUCUGGUCACAAAAACUGGGAAUUUUGGACAUAUAAUCCCACAUUUGAUUAUAUGUUUUAGCCUAAACAUAAAUGGAAUUGAUUUUCUUUUCUACUUUUGGAAACACGUUUUUGUCAAGUCAGUGAUCAGUGAAGUGUAACACAAAAUCAAGGUGUAUUUUUUUUAAUUAAUAAGUAGAUAAGUUGGGACAAGGUUAAGUGUUUGAAUGAAAUCAAUAAAUCAGUGAAUACAGACAAAGUCAUGAGUGUGUAUGUCUAGAUUUAAACAGGUAGAACAUUUGCAUUCAGAUGAAUUCAAAAAUAGUUGUGUCAGUAUGGGGCUCUAUAGGGGACAAAUAGGAUGCUGUAUUUAUGCAUACUUGAUCAAUGACCACAUACCAUCUUGAAAAAGUAUUUGUUUAUUUAGAACUAGAAAGAAUUUUCCAGAAUCUUUCUUUUCAUGAAAAAAUACCUAUUUUUUAUCAAAAAAUAAAUAAAACAUUCUAUAACAAUUCAUUACAUUGAAUGUUAUUUUAAAAGGGGGCAAUUAUUUUCACAUGUUUUAAUAUAUAUGGUAUACUUUCAAAAUAAGUUUACAUGAUUUGAUAUUCAUUAUAUAUAUAUAUAUAUAUAUAUAUAUAUAUAUACAUUCAAUGAAGGAUUUCUAGAAGAUUCUGAAACAUAUAAUUUUCACAACCAACAGAAAAUGUUCAGUGUUCAGUGUUUUGUUUUUACUUAAUUAAAGGUAUUAUUAAAAGGUAUUAAUUUUGAAUCAGUAAUAGCUUGUUCAAUUUUUUCAACCAGCAGUGCUGAUAGUUUUGUUUAAUGACAUGAAUAUUGAACUGAAAAGACUCCAUAUAGUGAAUGUCAUACUUCUGGAACUUUGUUAUUACCUGAAGUGUUUAUAUUAUUAAAGAUCAUUCUUUUGUUUAUAUGGAGUAUGAUUUGAGAGUUUUCUGUGUGUGUGUGUGUGUGUGGAAAAAAGGGGGGUAUUCUGGCUCCUAUGAAUAUGUUUCUGGUGAUAGAUUUAUAGGAAUUUCUGUACAGGUGAUUUUCAGUAAACUACCUCUGAUUAAUGCUACACCUAUAUACACAUUUUAAAUUGAUAAGAACAAUUAACCUGGUUCUUGCUUUCCUAUACCUGCCUGUAAUUUCCAUGCCUUUCCCAAAACAUUUUAUUGACAAUUUCAGUCAAACAGUGAACAUUCCAGACAUUUUUGGUUAAGCAGCUCCUUUCCUUGUAUACUUGUGUAAAAUAUUAAAAAAAAAUAAAAAAAUGUUUACCUACCUAUUCUAUUUUUUUCCAUCAAGAAGACUGGAAAAAGGUAUAUAUAUAUAUAUAUAUAUAUAUAUAUAUAUAUAUAUAUAAUAUGGUAUAUAUAUAUAUAUAUAUAUACAACUUAUGUGUUAUGUAUGAUAUGUUGAACCUUAUAGGGUUUAUAGGAAAGUGAACCGAAGUUUAAAUAUUGAAUUCUUAAUACCAAAAUUGAAACACAUUGAAUUAUUAAUACACAUUGACCUAUCAAUAACAUUAGCAAUUUGACUUUUUGCUAUCAAAUCUAAACAAGCAUUGACAGGUGACUGCUAUGGACAUGUUUAUGUCUAUUUUUCAGGCCUAGGGACAUGUUUAAUUUAUAUCUUUUUUGUUUUUCUUUGGGAAUGUUUAGUUUGUCUUGCUUGAUUCUCCUUGGGACAUGUUUUGUUUAUGUCUUGCUUGUUUUUCUUUGGGACAUGUUUAGUUUGUCUUGCUUGUUUGUCUGUGGGACAUGUUCAGUUUAUGUAUCUUGUUUGUCCCUAGGAAAUGUUUAGUUCAUGUCUUUUUUGUGAUGUUUAGUUUAUGUCUUGUUUGUUUGUCCUUGAGACAUGUUCUUAUGUCUUGUUGGUUUAUCUUUGGGACAUGUUUAGUUUAUGUCUUGUUUGUUUGUCUUUGGGACAUGUUUUAUUUUUAUUUUGUUUCUUUGUCUUUUGGACAUGUUGAGUUUAUGGAUUGUUUGUUUGUCUUUGAGACAUGUUUAGUUUAUAUCUGUUUGUUUGUCAUUGGGACAUAUUUAUAUAAUAUAAACAAUAAACAUGUUCCAAGGACAAACAAACAGACACAAACAUGUCCUAAGGACAUACAAAUAAACAUAAACAUGUCCCAGAGACAAACAAACAGACAUAAACAUGUCCUAAGGACAUACACAUAAACAUAAACAUGUUCCAAGGACAAACACAUAGACACAAACAUGUCCUAGGCUAAGGACAUACAAAUAAACAAACAUGUCCUAGAAACAAACAAAUAGACACAAACAUGUCCUAAGGACAUACACAUAAACAUAAACAUGUCCCAGAGACAAACAAACAGACACAAACAUGUCCUAAGGACAUACAAAUAAACAAACAUGUCCUAGAGACAAACAAAUAGACACAAACAUGUUCCAAGGACAAACACAUAGACACAAACAUGUCCUAAGGACAUACAAAUAAACAUAAACAUGUCCCAGAGACAAACAAACAGACACAAACAUGUCCUAAGGACGUACACAUAAACAUAAACAUGUCCCAGAGACAAACAAACAGACACAAACAUGUCCUAAGGACAUACAAAUAAACAUAAACAUGUCCCAGAGACGUCCCAGAGACAUGUAAAAAUCGAUUUUAAAUAUACAAAACUUGUAGAAUUUUAACCCCCCACCCCCAAACAAUUUGAUUUAAGUUUUUUAUCCUACUUCGAUCUUUUGAUGUCUUCCCUAAGCAGGGGUUGAAACUUGACAACUUUAGAGUUGACACUCUGCUAGUGAUAACUGAAGAUAAACCUUGUUCAAAGCCCCUCCCCCCUUUGACAUGUUUAAAAUAUUGCAUAGCUGUUCAAAACAAGCAGCUAACAUCGCGUGUAGAUAGAAGAGAUAAUAACAGGUUAUGAUUAUGAUUCUGAUGCACAAGGAAAUUGGAUUUUUUUUCUUGAUUAGCUGGCCUCUUUAUGAUCCAUCUUUAAACUGGUUAAGAGUUAAAAAGAGAAAAGGAUCAAUGAGUAGCAUGUUGAAAACUAUUAUAGAAAAGAUUUAAAUGUUGAUUUAAGUCUUUUAUAGCUUAUCCUUAUACGUUAUACUCCUUUUUGAAGGCCAUAUAGUAAUAAAUUAGCUUACAUUAUUUUGUAAAUGUACAUGUAGAUAAAUCAAAAAGCAGUUUUUUGUAUACUGUAGAUUUAUUAUUAUUUUUUGGCAUCACCAGUCAUUGGUCUUGUGAUAGGGUGUUGUGGAAGAGAAAGUUGAUACAUAUGUACAUAGGUCAGUCUUACAAUUUGUAUUAAGUUCUACUUCUCUAAGCACACAACAUUUAGGCAUAGCAAAAACAUGUGACUUUUUACUUGGAAACAACCCUAAUAAUUAAAAGCAUGGCUUAGUCUGGCAGUCUGGUAGGCUUGAAUCUUAGUAUAAUGAUAUCACUUGUCUGAAUGUCCUCAUCUUCAUGCACUGGUAAUAUUUGACACUGGACAUAAAGCAAUCAAUCUCCCUCUCUAUAUCUAUGUUGACUAUAAAUACACCUAAUGUAAGUUAAGUUUGGGUUGAUAAGGCCAUUGAAAUAAAUGUAAUAAUAAAAAAAUAUAUCUCUUCAUUAUUUAAGGCCAAUUAAAAUUAAUUGAUAGAUUUUCAUCCCCGCCUGCCCCUCUGAAUCGCCCUGCCCCGAUUUUUUUUAUUUUAAAAAAAAUAUGAUUUCCGGAUUUUGUUCAAGUCCGUUACCGGGAACCAUUGAUAAGUUUGUUUCAUUCAAAACUUCCUGUUUCAAAUUUCGUAUUUUUAUUUCUUCGAGUAAUCUAACGAAAAUGAUUAAGUCAACAUAUUCUGCUGCACUAUGAUGACAGCAUCAUCUACCGAGAAUAGAGAUUGAUUACAAGAAGGGCAAGAAAUAUUCGAGUUACAAUAAAAUGUUUUGUCCAUGAAAGCAAAUUGCGGUAGUCACAAGUGAUUCAAAAAACAUGUUUUUCUUUUAUUUAUACAAUGACUUUGUGUUAGGAAAUUUGGACUGUGAAUGAUAUCCAAAGUGCAAGAAUUGUAGAACAAAUUGGUUAAAAAAACAUGACUGGAUUAAAGAAAUUGACACAAGCACGAACUUGUUAGAUUUAUGACCAUAUAUUGAGCAAAAAAAAAAGUCGACAAACACGCAUUUUAAUAACAAGCCUUUAGAUUUACCCAUGGCUGUCGUUUUUUGUUGACAAACAGCAAACACCUUCUGUGACUGUCCCAAUACCCUCAAUUUAGUCAUUAAACAACAACUUCUAUUUGAUUAAGUUCAUGUUUUACAUCAUAAUUACUUUCAACACUGAGUUAACAUUUUAUUCUGUACUCAUAAUACUUGUGUUGCAUACCAUUGUACCAAUACAUUUUAUGGGGACUACAAACCAUUGCUUAGAAAGCAAAAUAAAUUUGUCCAACUGAAGAGAGCAUUUCUCUUCUUUUUGAUGUAUACCAUGAAUAGGUUUCUAAAGUGGCAAUUACAUGUAUAACAGUGGUUGCCAAUCAGAGAUUUUUAUUUAAGAGUUUGAAAAAUUAUGUAUGAUUCCUUAUACGGCAUGUAUUUACAUAAUAUAAGCUUGUUUUUCACCUGCUUAUACCCCGCGGUAUGAAGAACUUGUGACGAUGGUUUCAUAUGAAAUAAAAUUUAAAAAAUAAAAUCCUCCCACCCUCCCCAUUUUUUUUCAAAAAUGUGGAUGAAAAUCUACUUAUUAUUUUUAGUUGGCCUAAGUAUAGACAUUAUUUAUUUGCAUAAACACAAAUUGUAUGAUACACAAGUCAAACAGACUUAAUCAGUCUUGUCCAUACAAUUAUAUAAGUGUCAAUGGAAUUCCCAAGCUUCCAUAUCUAUUUUUGUUGGCUUGAAAUUGCUUACUUUAAAGUUUUUAAUGACACUUUGGUAAUGAAUAAUAACAAAAUUGCAGGUCUCAACAUUUACUAAGGGUAAAAAAUUAAGGAAAAAAGAAAUCUUGCCUAUCUACAAUAGUUUUCAUAGUCAGAAACGCAAAACCCACUUAUAUUUUUUUUUGCCUGUGUGAACAUUUUGUUAUUGACUAGUCAAUUUUUAAACUUAUUCACACACUUAAGGUUUUCCUAAAAUCCAUUCAUCUACCUGAAUACACUAGUUCUAUGACUAUACAAACAAGUUUUUAAAACCCUUAACUGCAGUGUUUUAUACUAAACUACAGGACAUACAUUCAGUGUUUAAUUCUGCAAAUUCAAUUGCCAGAGAUUAAAAAAAAUAAUUUUAGGGCCACUUUGACCCAAAAUCUUGCAUGUACAUGUAUAUUUUCCUUCCAUGUUGAUCUUCAUUUUUGUCAAACCCAAUCAAGACAACUUGAUAAAUGUGCUGUCUGUUUUGUUCGCCAUUGUAUGAUAUGUUUAUCUAAUAUAUUUGAAGUCUGACACCAGAUCAAUCUAAGAACUGCAGUUGUUCAAAAUUAGAUUUAUUGUAGAGUUUUGUCUAGAAGUCUAUUUCUGCUAGUACCACAGCAUGUCCUUUAAAUAUUGUCCAUUACAGCAGCAAACCUGACCAGACUCCUGAAGUCAAACUUACACCACAAAAAUUCAUAGAAAUCUAUAAAAAAAAUAAAAUAAAUAUUUGGAAAAUAGUUCCAAGACAGCAGCCCUUCAACUUUAAAACAGUAACAAAUUAAAAGAGGUAUGGUCAGAUCAUCUGUUUUCCUAUGUCAUAUGAAUUUGUACUAUGCAUGCUUUUCGAUGCAUUCUUAAUAGUACCAAAACCCAUGAGACAAGGAUAGAUGUUAAGUAUUUAUCUAAGGACAGGUACUUACAGUACAUUGUUUUCAGUGGUAGACAAACUGUGAGUGGGAGAUACACACCGAUGGCUCUUUUGGGAUCCAAUACAUGCAAAAGAAUCAUUUCAACAUGGACAAGAUUAUAUUACCAUGUAUAAAUGGUUGCAGUGCACAUAUAUAGGUUACUGCCUUUAAUUGUAUGUAUAUAUAGAAUUGUAACUUUUAGAAUGGGGUUGAUUGAUUACAUGUAGCUUAGUUUAUAUUUAGAAUUGUCUUUAUUUUCAAUAAACUCUCUCAUUUUGUAGCUUUAUUUUUCCUCAUGUUGAAGAUUUAUUUCUCAGCUGUUGUCACUCUUAUUGACAUUUUUUUUUAAAGAAAGAUUUCAAUAAGGUAUAUAACAUUAAAACAAUCCAUCAAUGUACUGACUGGGUAACAAUGACAUCUUCUUAUUACUCUUUAGAUACAUGUGUACUCCCAACAUUUUAUCUAGGAUUCAGUCUAUUUUAAAGACAGUUCAAAAUACAAGAUUGCUUUUUAGAGAAAUAUGUUCAUCCCUGGACUUCUGUCCAGCUAUAAAGUUGUCUCCCUUUUGACUGUGCCAGCUUCAUAGAUACUCAGCCAUGUCAGAAUGGUGUGUGUGUGUGUGGGGGGGGGGGGGCAAGGAGGCAGGUGCUUAACAACCUAAUGUCAUGUGAAGGGAGAGUGCCACCCUCUUUGUAUUUUUAAUACCCAUUACAACUUCUCUCCAAGGGUCCUUUAAUACAUAUAGGUGGCUUGUUGCAAUGCAAAAUUUUAGUUUUCAAAUGCAGUUCCUGUUCAAACUUUCAAUGCAAUCUUUUAGGAAUUGGGAACUCAUAUGUCAAGGAUUAAUACAAAAUCUUCUAACUUUAGUGUGAUGCAUUUAUAAACUAUUAGGAAUUAAUCAAGUAAUUAUCAAAGUCAUUCAAUACAAUAAUAUUCAGUGACAGUGUCAGUCAGUAAUAGUAGAUGUACUUGUAGAUCUAUAUAGUAACUAUGCAUACUGUAUUGUUUAUUAUAUUUGUAAAAGAAUAAUAUUACAAUGGUAUUAUAUUAUGCUCCUUGUGAGCCCAUUUUAUGGAAAUAAAGCAUCUUCUUCUUCAUCUUCUUCUUAUAGUAACAGUUGGACCAUGUACAACUCUUUAAUAUUGAAGUCAUUCACUCGACAGUAUAACUGAUAAUAUUACUAGCAAAUUAUUAAAAUUAAAGCUAGCACAUUGAACCAGUUCUUGUACUUUUGAUUCCUACACACUUUUUUGGUUUCUAGUUAAGAUAUUUUACAUCAAGACAAUCACUUGAAAGACAAUAUGAAGUAUUAACAUUUGAUGUCAGCUUUUUGAAACAAAUGGAAAAAAAAUGAGACUGUAUUUAGUGCCUAUAGCAGUUUGAAGACCUGAAAUCUCAUUAGAACAUGUCUAUAGAGUAGCAAGCUAUAAUUGUGACUGUCAUUACCAGACAUCUGCAGGUGAUGCAGUCUUAUAGACAAGUACCAAUUAAACUUCUUACAAUCCAUCACUAUUCAUAGCUUUGUCACAUUUUCUGCACUACUGAACUAAGCAGUAAUUGGACAGAUCUUGCAUCAAAGGAUUACAUUGUUCAUUAUUUGAUCGUUGUGAAAGUUACUUGAGUGUUUAUGCAAACAUUGGCAAAGAUGAUCAUAUGCUUUUUUGAUGUCCUAUGCCAUUAGUCUGAUUAAAGAUUAUCUGUACCUUUUCAACCAUACAAUAGGAUAUUCAUUGUCCUGUGAAUUAAUUUCUUUGUAUUAUGUAAAUUUACAGUGUUAUAGGGAACAAAGAAUUUUCAUAUUGAAUUUCUAAUCAAAAAGUAGAAAUUCGGAAAGUAAUGUAUAAAUAAAGAAACUUAACCCCUGUGAGGAGACCCAAGGGUAUAGAAAUUGGCUUAUGGUGCAUGUUACUGUUAUGAAUAGUAGGAGAGUUCCAGUCUGAACACAAAAAGACCCCUUAAGCCACAGGGCUGAUUGGAGUUUAUACCUACAGGCUUUCUAGAUAUCAUAUCUUAAAAAUACUUGAAAGGUUGGAUAGAUAGGUGAGUGUUGUGUUUUUCUUGCUGUUAGAUGCUGAUGCAGUCGUUUAUAAAGGAUGCUACAAUUAUGGAAUGAAGAGAUAGAUCUUUUGUCUUUGCCAAUGUCAAAAAGAUGUUACAGUGAUGGGAUGCAGAGAUCUUGUGUAUACCAUUAUGUUGAAAAUAAUGUUGUAAAGACUGGAGCAGAUACAGGUCUUGUGGUUACCCUGAUGCCAAAAGGCUGUUGCAGGUGAAUCUUUUGGUCUUAGACUACCCUGAUGUAAAAAAUAAUGUUGCAAAGAUUGUGAGGAGAGAUUGAUCUUGUGACUACCCUGAUGUCAACAGAAUAUUGAAAAGAUUGGAAGGAGAAAUUGGUUUUGUGGCUACCCUAAUGUUAAAAGAUAUUGCAAAAGUUGAAAGGAUAGAUUAAUCUUGUUGCUACCCUGAUGCCAAACAGAUUUUGCUAAGAUUUGAAGGAGAAAAGGAUUUUGGGUACCCUGAUGUCAAAAGGAUGCUGCAAAGAUUUAUAAUAAAGGAUAAAUGGAUCUUGUGGCCACCCUGAUGUUAAAAGGAUGUUGACAAGAUUUGAUUUAGAGAGAUGGACCUUGUGGCUUCCCUGAUGCAAAAUGAAUGUUGCAAAGCCAAAGGUCGAAAAGAGGAAUGGAUAUUUUGGACACAUGCUGACAUUAAAAAGGCUCUUACAAAGAUUGGAAGGAGAAAAAGGUAAUCAUAAAGCUAUUCUGAUGUUGCAAAGAUAAGAAGGAGAGUCGGAUGAUUUGUCUACCCUAAUGUUGAAAAGAUGUUGAAAAUAUUGUAGGGAGCGAUGGAUCUUGAGGCUACUCUUGUCAGUUGACAAAAGUAAAGGCAACAGUAGUAUACCAGUGUUCAAAAGGAUGAAUGUUUGGAAGGCACAAUGGAUCUUGUGGCUUCUCUUAUAUCAAAGAGAUGUUGCAAAGUUUAGAAGGAGCAAUUGAUAUUUGGCUACCCUGAUGUCAAAAGGUUGUUGCAAAGAUUUGAAAUGUAGAUAGAUAAUUUGUCUACUCUGUUGCCAAAAGGAUGUUGCCAUGCUUGGAAGGAGAGUCAGAUGCUGUGUCUACCCUGAUGUCAAAAGUAUGUUGAAUAGAUUUGAAAAAGAGAUGAAUCUUGUGGCUAUCCUGAUCAUAAUUUCACAGUAGUUUUUAAAAGAGGGCAUUGUUGAUGUAGAGUUAUAUUGAUCACAUGAGAGAGAGAGAGAGAGAGAGAGAGAGAGAGAGAGAGAGAGAAAGUAGUUGAUCUAGGUCUUAUAUUGAUAACUUAUCUCUUGUAUAUUAUGAUUCAGUAGUGGAUAGACAUCAAUGGCUUAUGAGAAUGCUUUGAUUAGUUAGGGGAAUAUAAUAAUCUGUAACAAUUUAUGACAUGCCUGAAGAGCUAUUAUGUUGAUGAUUAUUUUUAUGUAAAAAAAUCUGUUAUAAAAUCAGUUAUGACUGUAGUAUUGCAUAUUCAGAGUGUAAAAGUUAAAGCUAUUGUGUAAGAUAAUAUUUUUCUCAAUUCAUGUCAUAAUUUAAGAAAACACAUAAAAAUAUAUUAAAGACACUAUAUGCAAUGAUUGACAAUUUUGGGUAUGCUUUUCAAAGUGAAGGUCAUCUGGACCUUGGGGUGAAUAUUUUUUUAGCCAGGGCAAUCAUAUGAAUUUCUUGUCUUCUUUUUAUAAAGUUGAUAAAUACACUACAGAAAACUGACAUCUGUAUAGAGAAUAGGUUCACCAGCCUACUUGGAUUGUGGUUUUCUUCUUCUAAAUGAAAAAUGUAAACAAAAGAAAACACAAAUCAGCAAUGAAAAUAAAUGAUUUUAACAGGUUGAUGUUUUCUCUUUGUUUAGUACCUCACCACAUAAUUACAUAAAACAGAGAUAACACAUAUAAUUUGAUGGAGUUAACCUACUGCGUUAUAACUUUGGAUCGCAAACCACAGUGAUAGACUAAACACAUUUAUCUCAAGUGCACACUACAUAGACACAAGUCUAGCCAUACACAUUUUCCAUUCAUUGUUUCGGAAAUGUAUGUAUUAAGGGUAAACAUUUUAUAAAUGUACUUGUACUGUACAUGUUCAUCAGAAUUCUGCGUGAUCAGUAGAUAUCCAAUUAAAAAACUCUUUUGUAGAUUUUUUCAUUUAAUUUUUUUUUCAUACUCCUAAAUAAAUGCCUAAAGUUCAUGUUAUGAUGAUCCUUUUGUGUGCUGCCUAGCCUCAUUUUUAUGUUGACAUACAAUGGAAUAUCCCUCAAUACUUCUGAUUAUGAAAUGGUGAAUCAAUACAACACUAGGACCCCUCCUUCAGAUGCAGAUAUAGCAUUUUGAAAAGGGGGCUCACAAACAAGGCACCGCUUGGAGGGGGACUGUAACCUUGUAUGUAUCUCCAUAAAGUGAGGCCUGGUUUAACCUGUAGAAUCCAUAGGCGGAUCCAGGGGGGCCUGGGGGCCUGGGCCCCCCCUUUUGUGGGAAAAAUUUGGUUGAUUAUAUAGGGAAUCACUGAUGCAUGACUGGAGUGGGCCCCCCUUAGGAAAAGUUCUGGAUCUGCCACUGGAAUCCUACCCAUACCUAAGCAUCAUGCAUGUUCAGUUGAUUUGUUCACCUUUUAACUUCAGUCAUAGUGUAAAAGUCAGCAUGACUCUUUAGUCCUUAAUGUCAUAAAAAAGUCGCUAGAGAAAAUGAAUGUUUAUGUUGGAAAAAUGACAAACAAUUCCUGGACAGAAAUUAAUGCUUCAAUAGGGCAUUCAAAGUAACAAUAAAUAAAUAUAAGAUAUUGUACAGUAAUUCAGUGGACAGCAUUUUAUGUCUAGAUAAUGCUCACUGUUGUGUGGCAAAACAUGACAUGUCUUUAGGUUUAAAUUCAAUUAUCAAAUAAUUUACAAAAGUAAUAUCAAAAAUGUCCAGAACAAAAUAGAGGAAACUUGGUCCCUCUUUUUUUCUAUGUGGCAACCAAAGUCCCAAAUAUCAGCAACAGUUGCAAUAGUAUACAGUACAUGUACAUGAAAUAUAGCUUUCAUUGAGGAACAUUUUAAAAAUGUGUUGUGACCACUGCAAGAAGGGAAAUCAAGUUUUAAACUAGUAAUCAUGAAUUUUGCAAAGGACUGGGUGUCAAUAUCUCAUCAUUGGUAUCUUUAGAUCAAACCUAUAAAACUUAAAAACACCUGGAGUCUUAUUAUAAAGACAGAUGUUAUUAAAAAGAUAAUUGCAUAAAAUUAUGUAUAAAAUCAAUGAUAAACCUUCUUCGCAUGUACUUCAGCCUGGCAAAUGUACUUCAGAAGCAAACCACAAAAAUGUAUGGGUACCAGAGGUAUAGUAAUGUGUUCAACAGAUUAUCUUUUGUGGUUAAAAAGAUUAAAAAGGAAAAAUAUACUGUUAUUUACCAUUAUACAUUUAUCAAAGACAGUUUUAUUGAAAUAUCAUUAUUUUUGUCAAAGUGGUUAAGAAUUUUGCCAUUAAAACAUAUGUGUUGGUUUGUAUGAUGUCUGUGUUAAGAGAAUCUAAGGUCAUUUACCUGUGUGAGGACACAAAGGUCACUGACAUGUGUUUAAUGGUUUCUAAGGUCAAAGUGACAAACAGAUGGACAUUGGAUAUGAUUAAUGUGGUCAGUCAAGGACAUCUUAACCAUUAUGACCAGCUGUGUUUAGUCUGGUAUUUCCAGGUCAUGUUAACACAACUGGUCAUCUAAGGACACUUCCUUCACAAUAAAGGAGAUGAAAUCUAAUGAUUUACAGCUUAUAUUGAAUAACUGACUAGUCAAGGACUUGUUACAUAUUAUAAUUCUUAAUACUUAAUGACAAGAAAUAAGAUCAAAUCUAAUGACUUAAAGAUUGUAGAAUAGUUGACUUGUCAAGGACAUUUUAAUGGUACAUGUUAUAAUUCUGUAUGUACUACAAAAGUCUACAUUAAAACCAUGACUAAUACACAUUAUGUGUGUUUUGUGACAUGUGUUAGUUACAAAUUUUUGAGCAAGGCUGUGGCUGAAUAGAAUUUUAAAUAAUGUAUUGAUCACUGUAUCCUACUAGAGUGCACACCUGGCUUUUUGGUUAUGUUAUUUAAAUUUUCAAUUGGAUGUUUUUUAAGUUAACUUUAUGGUACCCGGUUUUUAAAGGUAUUUGAAAGCUAUGCACCAUUAACUUAGAGUAGUGUGACCCAGACAGUGUGACCUUCAAAUCAAGGCUGGUGUUUCCCUCUAAAAGAUAAGAGAGAAGUUUUACCUAUGACAUAUAUUGAUAAAGUUUGCACAAGUCUGGCAUAAUAAGUGUGUGUCUAGGUUUGGUGUAUUUUUGGAAACCUUAUGGCAUGUAUAUAAUUUCUGCAGCUGUUACAAUAACCAUUAGUUUUAUAUUGUGAGGUAGAAUAUUUAAAAUCAAAUAAUGUGUGGGAGAAAAAGAAAUAAGAAAUGAAUUUUUCAAUAAGACCAGGUGUACAGAUUUAUAUUAUCUUCUUUUGAAUGAACAUCUUAAAGAAAUCCUUUGUUUCUUUUUUUUUUUAAAUUCACAAUUACAAGCAUAAAUUUUAUAUUUGAAUGAAACUUGAGAUAGCAAUGAUGUCAACAGUAAUUUUUUUAUGCAGUAAAAUUAAAUUUGUUGUACUCUUACAUUCAUAUAUUAAACUAGGCAGACAAUUCCAAAGAGAGAAUUAAAACUCAUAAGUUGAAUGGAGUCUGAUCAUGGCAAAAAAGUUCAGGAAAAAAACAUAAUAGGUAAAAAAGGGGGAGUUUUCUCGUUAGUUUGAAAGAUAUGGAAAUUUGACCAUUUCCUCUUGAUACCUGAUUUCAGAUUUGAAAAAAAAUCUAUUGAAAUACACCAGUUGAUAUGUUGAAAAUUGAUUGCAUAGGAAAUUUACUGUAUUAAAUAUACUUCAAAAUGUGGAAAAAAAGACAAGAAAAAAAAAAAUCUGAAAAAUCCUGAUAUUAUGAUGAAAGACCCAUUAUAGCAUUUAAUAAUGUGAUUAAAUUCUGAUGUAUAAUUUCACUUUCUAUCAUGGUAUUAUUUAGGAAAUAAGUUUUUUUGUAAAGUGGAAGUUAAUUUUGUACUUGGGAUGAUAAUUUACAGUACUUGUGUCAAUUUGAUAAAUUACAGCAGCUUAAUUUGUAAUGCUUUAGAUAAUGAACUGGAUGUCUUUAAUAUAAAUUAGUUCUAGGAAUUUGACAUAAAUCUAGUUAUUCAGGAUUUUUUUAAAAGAGAAAAUAAAUUUUUAAAUUUGUACCACCAGUGAUUUAGAACAAAUUUGCAGUCUGAUAUUAAAUCAAUUGUCUGCAAUUUGUAGAGCAGAGGAAAAAAAGGAUAUGAAAUAUAGUUCUGCAAGACCCAUUGGGGAAAGAAAUCAGUCAUUUUGUGUACAAAUCAUAUCUGAAAAUUUGUCAGGUUUUCUUUCACAUAUACUCCAUAAGAAAUUGUUCAGGUUGACAGCCCUCAUUUUAAGUAGUUUAAUAUGCAUAUAACCAGAGAAAAUCUUUUUUGAGUUGACCUUUUUAAUAUUUUGCAAUGAAAGUUGUGUGUCAAGAAACAGAUUUGAUUUAGAAAAACUUAAAAAAAAAAGAAAAGAAAAACUUCAAUUAAAAAAAAAUUGUAUCAACUAACCGAAAUCUGUUUCUUUAGCUUUAAAAAUAAUCCGUUGAGGUCAGCAAAAAAUAAAAAAGUUUUUAUUUUUUUAUUUUCAGAAAAGAAGCUUGUUAACCUUGCUAAUGCAUUCUGUACAGAUAAAAGACAAGUCGAGGCAGUUAAGGAAAUGAAUUUCACACAAUUUGGUUUGAAUUACAUUUGUACACAUCUUUCCCUCAUUAAUCUCUGUGUUGGCAUUGAUAAAGAAU
rnacentral:lncRNA from 1 species